GUGUGUGUGUGUGUGUGUGUGUGUGUGUGUCCCACGUCCAAGCCCAGCACCCACCACAC
rnacentral:miRNA from 1 species